rnacentral:rRNA from 1 species
GAUGAACGCUGGCGGCGUGCCUAAUACAUGCUAGUCGAGCGAACAGACGAGGAGCUUGCUUUUCUGACGUUAGCGCCGGACGGGUGAGUAACACGUGGCUAACCUCCCUAUAAGACUGGGAUAACUUCGGGAAACCGGAGCUAAUUCCGGAUAAUAUUUUGAACCGCAUGGUUCAAUAGUGAAAGACGGUUUUGCUGUCCCUUAUCGAUGGAUCCGCGCCGCAUUAGCUAGUUGGUAAGGUAACGGCUUACCAAGGCAACGAUGCGUAGCCGACCUGAGAGGGUGAUCGGCCACACUGGAACUGAGACACGGUCCAGACUCCUACGGGAGGCAGCAGUAGGGAAUCUUCCGCAAAGGGCGAAAGCCUGACGGAGCAACGCCGCGUGAGUGAUGAAGGUCUUCGGAUCGUAAAACUCUGUUAUUAGGGAAGAACAAAUGUGUAAGUAACUAUGCACGUCUUGACGGUACCUAAUCAGAAAGCCACGGCUAACUACGUG